rnacentral:rRNA from 1 species
CCUUUACUAUAGCUUGACACUGAACAUUGAGCCUUGAUGUGUAGGAUAGGUGGGAGGCUUUGAAGCGUGGACGCCAGUCUGCGUGGAGCCAACCUUGAAAUACCACCCUUUAAUGUUUGAUGUUCUAACGUUGGCCCCUGACCGGGGUUGCGGACAGUGUCUGGUGGGUAGUUUGACUGGGGCGGUCUCCUCCCAAAGCGUAACGGAGGAGCACGAAGGUUAGCUAAUCCUGGUCG